GGAACGAUACUGAGGGCAUUAAAACCAGUACAUCCGCGUCAACACUGAAGAGGCCUCGAAUCUAUUGGACGCAGGGUUGCCACCAAAAGUUUGUUGAGGCCAUGAACAGAAUCAACAAGGGGAAGAAAGGACGAUUUGGAAACAAUGGAUCGCCAGAGGUCGAGAUUUUGAUGAGAUGCAAAAGAUGGGUGUUAUGAGUCUUACUCGAGAAAUUGUCCACAGACACCUUCAGAAACACGGGACAGAUAGGAAGAAGCAACGACACUCCUCGGAGCGACAAAAUGGGCACCCUGGCCCGAUCAGUUGGUCAAGCCCAGGCCAAUAUGCGUAUCUAAUGAUCGAGUCGAAUCCCCCAGCGGCAACUUCUCCUAAUCAUGAGCAUGUCCAUUCUCAGAACUUUGCAAAUGGUCACGCGCCCUACUGCUACUUCCUAUGGACCAACAAGUGGGUCCACUUCCUGUAGCCCCAAUGACCCUACAGCUCAUAUUGCAGCUGAACCAUAAUGUUGUCGGGAACUCAAGUUCUCACCAUGUCAUUGAAUCAGCUGUCCCUGCAAAACUGCAGUUUAGGCCUCCCUCAGUUUUUCCGGCGACUGAUCACUAUCAGUUAAUCAGGAACUGAGGUCCUCAUCACAUGUGAUUGGAUCAGCUGCCCCAGUGAACCUGCAAAUGAGGCCUCCCUCAGUCUCUCCUGCAAAUGACACACCGUCAGUAUAAAAGAGCUGGAUUGGGAACAACUCGGUUUUGAAUAUGUUGGUGAUGAUCUGGCUUGACUCAGCAUUUGAAGCGAGAAACCAAUUGGGAAUGUAGAACUGCUUGAAAUAUGAGACAUUAGCUUGUGAAAUUACGAAACUAUUCAAGACGGUGGAUAUGAAUCAGCUGGUGAUUCAUUGAUAUUUCAACAUAAAAGGAUCAGCUUGUUGUGAGAAAGGUCGUCUUAAUUCCAGGUAUCAGAACCUUGACGAACGAUUUAUUCUGGAGUUUAAGUGUAAUUUUGGAGCUCUUGCUUGAUUAUUUGAUGUUGUGGAACGAAUUUGUGCUGAUCUAUCGCGAGAAGAUUGGAGCGAUCUCUGCGAGAUUCAAAGAGAAAAACAAAAACUGUAAUACAAUUGAGCUCUGUUCAUUGUAGUGGACUGCUGCUCUGUUCACUGCAGAAGCAUAACUUC